UGUAGUCAUAUGCUUGUCUCAAAGAUUAAGCCAUGCAUGUCUAAGUACAUACUUUUGCACGGUGAAACCGCGAAUGGCUCAUUAAAUCAGUUAUGGUUCCUUAGAUCGUUCAUAUUACAUGGAUAACUGUGGUAAUUCUAGAGCUAAUACAUGCAAAAAGCUCCGACCGUAUGGGAAGAGCGCUUUUAUUAGACCAAAACCAAUGGGGUCGCAAGAUUCCUUUGUAUGGUGACUCUGGAUAACUUUGUGCUGAUCGCACGGCCCUCGAGCCGGCGACGUAUCUUUCAAAUGUCUGACCUAUCAACUUUCGAUGGUAAGCGAUAUGCCUACCAUGGUUGCAACGGGUAACGGGGAAU
rnacentral:rRNA from 1 species